UUUACAAGAGUCCUCACCUCGACCAUGAUGCACCCAUCAACCAGCAGUCUGACCGCACCAUCAAUAACAUUACAGUGGUGUAGCGAUGGGAGAUGAUAGCCAACACCAGAUUUAUCAGUGAUGGGUGGCACGGUGGCAUGGUCCAUCUCUCCCACCAACAUUCGACAUGGAGCCAUGUUUGUCCCACCUUUGGGUUUGACAUAUCAAAACAUCACCUGAGCCUGUUUGGUAUUGUUGCCUCUGUAGAGAUGGGUCGUUUGGAGGUCAAUAUAGAAAUGCUAGGGAGGAUGCAGUGGCAUCAGCGAUGGCAUGGGGAGAGCGUCCUUUGCACUACCGCUUCGCCGACCGCUUCACCGGCACCGGGACGACACAGUGGCAUCAACGGGAGAGUGUUGUGGCCGUGUACAACUGGACUGCAAUGCAGGAUUCCCUGCUCAGCUGGGACGUGGUGGGAGGUUACCGAGUGCCAGGGCCGCUUGGAUUCAGUCCAACAGACCUUACUGCUUCAUUAAUACAAAAAUGCUUUAUUAGUUAGCUUCGUUUAAAUGGGCAUGACUAUCACGUAUCUGAUACAUAUUCCUAUUUUAGCGGCUAGAGCACAUGUAGUUAUGACAAAUGGGAAAAGAGGUUUUCACUAUUCCAUAAAUUUCAAAAGCUAA